UCAACAAGAGCGGCCCUCCUGAGCACAAGCUGUUUGGAUUCACCUACCUCCGGCUGUCGAAUCAGUUGGUGGAGGGACAAAACUAUGUCAAUUUCAAGACCUUUGUUGACAGAAUGCAUGCCAACCUGGUUAGUGCCACAACCCCUUGUUCAUGCAUGUCAAAAAUUAAACAGAGGAAUCAUUAAUUUGUUGAUUUGCACCGGCCUAUUACAAUAAUGCAAUUUGAUUCUUUUCAGCCUCAUGACCCAUGUGUUGAUCCAGUGGCGCCUUUGCAAAGAUCAGGGCCAGAACUGACGAUUGAAAUGAUCCUACAAGCAGCGCAGCCAAAACUGGAUCCAUUCCCCUUUGAAGAGCACACCGACCUGCGAGUUCAAGGCCUCGGUGGCAUCGGUGGGGAUGUUGAAGGCCCCACUGGUGGCAUGGGUGGGGAGGUUCAAGACCCCACUGGUAGCAUGGGUGGGGAGCUCCCUGCCACCGUGUAAUGAAACCUUUAUGAUCUACAGUACCUUUUAUGUUGUGUGUGACAGAGAAACCUUUCUCUGCCUUAUUAAUAGCAAUAAAUAAAGCACAUCACUUGUGCGUGUUCUGGAAGAAAAAUCUCAGUGCUGGAAGGGUUAAUCUUCUCUUUGUGAGAAUUAACCGUGCCCUAGAAAUAAGCCGAUGAGGAUAAAUAAGAUGUGGUGCUACAGUACAUCAUGAGGAUUACUCAUCAAUAUUGGAUUAGUCAUCAAGAGGAUGCUUUUCCAAUGAGCUGUAGUACAUCAGACCUUACAUACCUCCAUUAUGUGCAUAUGAGUGAAUGAACAAACUAUUUUGUGCUCAUUUAGCGAUUGUAUAUGGGUCCAUCAUUUUGGAUUGCAUGUUCACGAUUACCACUCGCAUGGCUUUGACUAAUGUUACGUGGUA
rnacentral:lncRNA from 1 species